UAUCACAGCAGCCGUUGUUUUGGCACCAACUGAAGCCCCAACGACAGCUGUACCUACAACAAUGAUAAUUACAACUCCCUCAACAGCUACCAAUGCCACACAAGCUCCAACUACUGCUCCGAACGCUACAGCUGGCUCUACUGCAGCUACCAAUGCCACACAAGCUCCAACUACUGCUCCGAACGCUACAGCUGGCUCUACUGCAGCUACCAAUGCCACACAAGCUCCAACUACUGCUCCGAACGCUACAGCUGGCUCUACUGCAGCUACCAAUGCCACACAAGCUCCAACUACUGCUCCGAACGCUACAGCUGGCUCUACUGCAGCUACCAAUGCCACAAGCUCCAACUACUGCUCC